UACGUAGGGGGGCAAGCGUUGUCCGGAAUCAUUGGGCGUAAAGAGCGUGUAGGCGGUCCGGUAAGUCGGCUGUGAAAGUCCAGGGCUCAACCCUGGGAUGCCGGUCGAUACUGCCGGACUAGAGUUCGGAAGAGGCGAGUGGAAUUCCCGGUGUAGCGGUGAAAUGCGCAGAUAUCGGGGAGGAACACCUAUGGCGAAGGCAGCUCGCUGGGACGUUUACUGACGCUGAGAACGCGAAAGCGUGGGGGAGCAAACAG
rnacentral:rRNA from 1 species